rnacentral:rRNA from 1 species
CUACGGGGGGCAGCAGUGAGGAAUAUUGCACAAUGGAGGAAACUCUGAUGCAGCAACGCCGCGUGGAGGAUGACGCAUUUCGGUGUGUAAACUCCUUUUAUAUGUCAAGAAAAUGACGGUAGCAUAUGAAUAAGCUCCGGCUAACUCCGUGCCAGCAGCCGCGGUAAUACGGAGGGAGCAAGCGUUACUCGGAAUCACUGGGCGUAAAGGACGCGUAGGCGGGAUAGAAAGUCAGGUGUGAAAUCCUAUGGCUCAACCAUAGAACUGCACUUGAAACUUCUAACCUAGAGUAUGGGAGGGGAAGAUGGAAUUAGAGGUGUAGGGGUAAUAUCCGUAGAUAUCACUAGGAAUACCAAAAGCGAAGGCGAUCUUCUGGAACAAUACUGACGCUAAGGCGUGAAAGCGUGGGGAGCAAACAGGAUUAGAUACCCCCGUAGUC